rnacentral:ncRNA from 3 species
AUUAUCCUUCGGGGUCGGGUGUAAGUCCCAACCGGCGGUGAUAAAGCGUAUGCUUUUAAGCCCGUGACCCGUUUUCAUACGAUGUAUGUUAGCGGUGGAUCUAGUUAAAAUCUAGAGCCGACAGUAAAAGUCUGGAUGGGAGAAGGAUCAG